GAUGAAGAACGUAGCGAAACGCGAUAAGUAAUGUGAAUUGCAGAAUUCAGUGAAUCAUCGAAUCUUUGAACGCACAUUGCGCCCGCCAGUAUUCUGGCGGGCAUGCCUGUUCGAGCGUCAUUUCAACCAUCAAGCCCCAGGCUUGUGUUGGGGACCUGCGGCUGCCGCAGGCCCUGAAAACCAGUGGCGGGCUCGCUGUCACACCGGGCGUAGUAGAUUUUAUCUCGCUCAGGGCGUGCUGCGGGUUCCGGCCGUUAAAAAGCCUUUUUUACCCAAGGUUGACCUCGGAUCAGGUAGGAAGACACGCUGAACUUAAGCAUAUCAAUAAGCGGAGGA
rnacentral:misc_RNA from 1 species